UACAGAGGUCUCAAGCGUUGUUCGGAUUCAUUGGGCGUAAAGGGUGCGUAGGCGGCGCGGUAAGUCGGGUGUGAAAUUCCGAGGCUUAACUUCGAAACUGCAUUCGAUACUGCCGUGCUUGAGGACUGGAGAGGAGACUGGAAUUUACGGUGUAGCGGUGAAAUGCGUAGAUAUCGUAAGGAAGACCAGUGGCGAAGGCGGGUCUCUGGACAGUUCCUGACGCUGAGGCACGAAGGCCAGGGGGAGCAAACGGGG
rnacentral:rRNA from 1 species